GUGUAGACAGCAUAAAAGCCUGGAUAUGUUACGCUGGAGUCACUGUGAAACCGCACUGCAAGGACAUUUGAUGUGGAAACAAAUGAUAGGGAGGAACCAGAACAAAAUCUUCCAAGGAGAUGAUAGAAGGGGCUAUGGAAUGAUCCCGAUGAAUCCAGAAGGUAACCACCGCAAGAAUUAUUUCCUGCAAAGCAAAAAAACAAGUCUCACUCAUGGUCUGUAUUGCACUGGGAACCAACAACAUCCUUGAAUCUGCACAUUCUGCUUAAUUUCCUGUGAAAGGCCAAGAGAGAUACAAGAACAGCAUGAACAAUCGUCAGCAUCAGAGAGUUUUGUGCAAGCAAGCAACUGAGAAGCAGUGCUCUUUCCAUUAUUGUACCUUAUUGCCCACCCAACUCAUAGUGACCCUGAUGUCCACAUUCACCUCUUGGAGGAGAUAUUAUAGUCAUUAAGACAAUGCUUAUCCAUCUCAUUAUGGAGUUGCAGUGGAAUUCGGUCUGUCUGCAGUUACUGUUCUGCUCCAUAUGCCAAGCUCUGAUCUUGUAAGAACGAAGAGAGUUUGGCCACCAGUGUAAUGACUGAAGUAGACUGCCUAAUGCUCACCCAGAAAUGUGACUACACCCCCCCCCAGUACCUUCAUCAGUGCAUGGUGAGUGCUUCCCUUCAUUUGAAAUUUCAAGGCAAACAGGGUCUCCCAUUUUCUAGUGUAUAUUUUACCCUCUGUGGAAAACACUGAUACCAAAUGUUGGAUAGAUGGAUUAUUCAGCCAAUGCAGUUUUCCUUUAUUGCAGAGGGGUGGGGGUGGAAGUAUGGGAGACAUUUGCAAAAAGUCAUACUUUGAGAUAUAAAAUCUUCCUCCUUGCUUACCUGAGUGAGGUGUGUUGUCCUUGUAUCCAGCUGUAAGAGUGGAGUUAAGGUUCCUCUUGAAUGUUGGUGUCCAGAC